rnacentral:rRNA from 1 species
UACAGAGGGUGCAAGCGUUGUUCGGAAUUACUGGGCGUAAAGGGCGCGUAGGCGGCCUUCUAAGUCAGACGUGAAAUCCCCCGGCUUAACCUGGGAACUGCGUCUGAUACUGGGAGGCUUGAGUAUGGGAGAGGGAUGUAGAAUUCCAGGUGUAGCGGUGAAAUGCGUAGAUAUCUGGAGGAAUACCGGUGGCGAAGGCGGCAUCCUGGACCAUUACUGACGCUGAGGCGCGAAAGCUAGGGGAGCAAACGGGG